GAUGAACGCUGGCGGCGUGCCUAAUACAUGCAAGUCGAGCGAACAGACUAGGAGCUUGCUCCUCUGACGUUAGCGACGGACUGGGAAUUAACACGUGGAUAACCUACCUAUAAUACUGGGAUAACUUCGUGACACCGGAUCUAAUACCGGAUAAUAUAUUUCACCGCAUGGUUCACUCGUGAAAGACGGUUUUGCUGUCACUUAUAGAUGCAUCCGCGCCGCCUUAGCUAGUUGGUAAUGUAACGGCUUACCAAGGCAACGAUGCGUAGCCGACCCGAGAGGGUGAUCGGACACCCUGGAACUGAGAAACGGCCCCGACUCCUACGGGAGGCAGCAGUAGGGAAUCUUCCGCAAUAGGCGAAAGCCUGACGGAGCAACGCCGCGUGAGUGAUGAAGGUCUUCGGAUCGUAAAACUCUGUUAUUAGGGAAGAACAAAUGUGUAAGUAACUAUGCACGUCUUGACGGUACCUAAUCAGAAAGCCACGGCUAACUACGUG
rnacentral:rRNA from 1 species